GGAGGGGGGCUAGCGUUGUUCGGAAUUACUGGGCGUAAAGGGCGCGUAGGCGGAUUGUCAAGUCAGAGGGUGAAAGCCCUGGGGCUCAACCUGGGAACUGCCUUUGAAACUAACGGUCUAGAGUCCCGAGAGAGGAUGGCGGAAUUCCCAGUGUAGAGGUGAAAUUCGUAGAUAUUGGGAAGAACACCAGUGGCGAAGGCGGCCAUCUGGCUCGGUACUGACGCUGAGGCGCGAAAGCGUGGGGAGCAAACAGGAUUAGAUACCCUGGUAGUCCACGCCGUAAACGAUGUGUGCUAGCCGUUGGAAAACCUAGUUUUUCAGUGGCGCAGCUAACGCAUUAAGCACACCGCCUGGGGAGUACGGUCGCAAAGAUUAA
rnacentral:rRNA from 1 species